ACGCAGGUGACAGCCCAUCCGCCCGGCACACUUCGCCAGAAGCCGGGCGGCAGCGGGACGAAUUUCUGCCCCAACUUCGGAAGGACUGAUGCCCUCCCAGGCCUGCUAUUGUCAGUGCUGUUAUACAAGUGGGAGCUACUGAAAGGCCAUUCUGUACUCUGCAGCAGAGCAGAGAAAGCCCUACCUUCUGUCUGCCUUGUUUCAAGAACUCUGAGUCACUGGAAACUAAGAAGAAAUAACACAACUUUAUCCUCUGCUUGAAAAGAUGGCCAGAAAUGUAAAGCUGCUCCUUGAACUGCUCCUGGAUGAAUAGGUUGCAGGUAGCUCUCUGCAAGGCUGGCCCUGGGAACAGAUGAGUGCAUUCAUUGCAGGGACCUUUGCAUUGAAACUGAACCCAGCGGAUCUCCGUGGCACUGGGCUGCAAAGGCAGGUUCCAAAGAAUGUUUGCUGAGUGAAGAUGUGUGGAAAGCUUCUGGAAACUUAUCCAAUCCUGAAUUCAGCAAUGUGUCAGUUAUGGAGUUGGUAAUUUUCUGAAAGCAUUAUCUUCCUGACUGGGCUCAGAUGGUGUUGGUAUGGACGGUGAUGCCACAGGUGAAGAUGCAAUGUUGACAGUACUUUCCACAA